UAUUUAUUUGUCUGAUAUUUAUGGUCACUGAGAUUCAUAGGCUGUUGGUACUUUAUGAUUAUUGUUUUAUUAGACUUAAUCAGCAUUUCUUUGUAUGAUAAUGUCACUGAGUUUGGAGUUCAGGUUUGCCUUUUCUAUUUUGAAUUUUUGAUUUCCCUCUUACCUUUUCUUUUGCCAUACAUUCAGGAUAUAGAUCAUUUUUCUUUUGCUAUGAUUUAAUGCUAGUGCCAACAAUGAUGUGAAUUAAAGUCUGCAAAAGGUUAGAGGUGUAUUAGGCUUUGGAUCCGAAUGAAGUCAAGGUCCUUACAAGAUUGUCCACCAUGAGGGGUUCUGAAGGAAUAUAUUAUGGAAAGCAUUGUUUUCACCUCAGUAUUAUUCUAAUAUUGGACAACCUGAAACAACCGAAUUAUUAUGGACAAAUCUUGCACAGACUUACUCUAGGUAAUUGGUUUUAAAUUAGAACUCAUUUCGCUGUCUUUGUUACCCUUAGACUAGAAGGAAUCCCUUUCCUUAAGGAAGUACUAUCAAUUGCAUUUGGUUCCAUAAUGGACAUUGUGGGACUUAAUUUUCACAGUUGCUAUUCAUGCUAAAAUUGUGUGCAGGUAUAAUGAGAGGUCAUAUAGAUUGCAUUUUGGUUGAGAGAACAUUACAACAAUGCAAUCUUUGUUUAAAUUGUUUGUCUUUAGAAGCUGUGUGGUGAAAGGGCUAUUUGGAAGUUUCCACGAUGCAUUGAGAAGAGAAAUUGUAGUUUUGAACUAGUUGGUUGUUCAUUUGGAAAAACCAAGGAAAGUAGGGAUUGGUGGCAGUUUCAGAGGAACAUAAAGAGGGACAUGAACUUACGGUAGUGGUUGGGCACUGCUUACUAGCCUUUGGACCUCAUCCUUUGUCAAGGCCAUAGGAAUCAUGUACUGUAUGUAAUUUUAACUCGAUGGCUGUUCUCCUGGCAAUCUCUCGGAUCUGGAUGGCUGGGGUAUGAUUUCCAGGCUGAGGUGAAUGUCCUAGUCCUUGGGAAAUUGUCUACCAUGGGAGUAUCUUAAUAGCUGAUUGAAGAUGCUUUUUAACAAUCAUUAGAUGGCUAGCUUGAGCAAUCCAAAAUAAUGUGUGAGACUUAAUUGGUGUGAGAAAUAUUCCAUCUCUCUUCUAUGAUGAGGAUUGGGAGUAUUUGGGUAGGUUUUCACCUCACAAUAUAUAAGGGAGGAUCCUUUUGUAAGUGCCCAAGUAGGUGUCAGACAGUGGACAGGGUAUUUAGUUAUCUCACACACAAUAGUUGAUAGGGAGAAGUGGCCUCCAAGCAAUAAGGGUUUUCUGCAUUGGGUGUUAGAAUCAUUGUCAGUUUUUAUGGAUUUAAUUUAUUCCAUUCCAGUUAGAGUGAAUGGGGAAAGAUAAGAUCUAUUGGAAGCUGCGGCUAAAGGGAGGGGUUUUGAAGUGGGAGGGUAUUAUACUAUUAUAGUUUUUUGGUGUCUAAUAUAGAUGUACCUUUUCCAUGGAAAAUUAUUUGGAGAUUGAAGGUUUCACCUAGAGUUGCACUUUUUUCAUGGACUGUCGCUCUUGGGUAAGAUUCUUACUAUUGAUAAUUUGCGGAGAAGACAUUAUUGUGAUAGAAUGGUGUUAUAUGUGCAAAUAUGUUUGGGAAGUCUUUGGAUCACCUUUUGCUUCAUUGUCCUGUAGCUACAAAGUUGUGGAAUAUGGUUUUAAAUUUUUUUGGUGUUUAGUGGGUUAUGCUGCUAUGAGUUUUAGAUUUUAUUGAUCAUCAUAAUUUACAAGUAUGAUUAUGGUGGUCUCUAGUUUGCUCCCAGUCUAUAUAUAUGGGCAAAACUUAGGAACAAUACUUAGGUACAGUACUAGGUGCUGUUUCUUACCCCUCUUAAAAUUCAAUCAUGUGU